rnacentral:misc_RNA from 1 species
AAAGAAGUACGUAUCAUUUUUUUUUUACCUCGAAAUUUAAACCGAAUAUGUGAACAAAGGCCGUUAAAUUUUCCUGCCAAAAUUCCAACUACCAUCAAGACUUUUUGUGCUUUGCUUUUUGUUUUUUCCACUUUCAUUGGGACCCACUUAAACAACUGCGUUGAUUUCAUCGCCUCCCCAUGAUUCCGAUCGCCGGCCGGAGGAGAACCGUUUCAUUCCUCCUAACCCAACCGGUUCAACGCUAACCGGAGCUCCUCCGCGAGUUUUCCCUACGGUCACACUUUUGCUCUUUCUCAGCGGAUUUAUCGGCUCCGUCGUCGACUUUGAACCUAGCGUUUUAUCAGUACUGGACCUUGCCGGUUUUUUGUUACUCCGAUUAGAUCGGAAUAUUGAUAGUAAACGUGAACAGAAUCCGGAUUUGCGUUUCUCUCCAUUGUUGCUUCGUGAUCUCUCGAGUGAAUUUUUUUCACAUUUUUUUGAUU